GGACGGAAGGACGGUCGACCCAUUAACUUGUUUUUGUUUUGCCUUGAAGUUGUUUGAUUUAUAAGCAUAAUAACCAGCAAGUAAUCAGAUACUGAAAACCAAGCAGAAGAGAAAACAAAGAGAAGCCAUUCAGCACUGCAGAGGAUACGGCCUGUCCUCAGCUCAGCAGGGUCGGGGCGGGGUUGUGCUGGACACACCAGGGUGUAAAACAAGAGCCGGUCACCUCCAGGAAUAGCAUUCAUUGGCUUCUGCUCAGUUGGGAGAGAAGUUGGAGUUAUUCUGAACCAUUUAAUAAUGAUGCAGAGAACAGGGUACCCCUAAGCUGGCAGCGUCCUGGGUGACCCCCGGGGAAGAGGAGAUGGAUCGAGGUGGUGGCUGUUGUUAGGAUGGUGCUCUGGAUUCUCUAGGUGCCUGUCCUCGGGGCUUUAGAGCCGAUAAGGCAGCAGAAGCUGGAGCCGUGGUUGUUUACAGUGGACACUGGAGACUGUGGUAAAGACAGCGGGAGUAGCUUAUUUUGCACAAAGAUGAAUGAGUUUGCAUUAUUUGUAGGAGAAUGGAGGGCAAAGGGGUCCUUGAUUACUAGGUAUUAUUCAGAGGUGUAACACCUGUUCAGCGUAUCAUGGGGCUUUAGUUAAAAGUGUUGGGGGUAUUUGUAGAACAGACAGUGAAGAAGACAGAGGGAAGGAGAAGCCACUGACACAGUUGUGGAGGCCACACACUGCUUUCCAGUAGCAUCUGCGCAGAAAGAGGUGCUGCCUGCCUAGAAAGGUGGUCCUCAGAAACAUGGGCGCUGCUGGCCCCAACUGCCAGAAAACCCUCAUGUUGAAUAUUCAGGGGCUUCUUCAAGUGAUUUUAAGUGCUUCUGUUUCCUAACUCCGGUUGCUCUCUUGCAGGGGCCAGCCUACCAUUAACGUGCAUUUGAAGUGGGCAUUGUGUGGGUCAUGUGGGUGGGGACCUUCAGGACUGUAGAUAUGGGGACUCAUUAUUAUCCCUGAAAGAACAGAAAUAAGGGAUUUGCUAUUUCUAAAUCCCUUUGCUUUGGCCCUCUCCCAUUUUAUCAUGGAAAAAACCCUCAGUCAUGGUAGUAAUAAAUGCUGUUUCCUUUUCUCCCA
rnacentral:lncRNA from 1 species